rnacentral:rRNA from 1 species
CCUACGGGAGGCUGCAGUGGGGAAUAUUGGGCAAUGGGCGCAAGCCUGACCCAGCAACGCCGCGUGAAGGAAGAAGGCUUUCGGGUUGUAAACUUCUUUUGACAGGGAAGAGCAGAAGACGGUACCUGUCGAAUAAGCCACGGCUAACUACGUGCCAGCAGCCGGGGUAAUACGUAGGUGGCAAGCGUUGUCCGGAUUUACUGGGGGUAAAGGGCGUGGAGCCGGGCUGACAAGUCAGAUGUGAAAUCCGGGGGCUCAACCCCCGAACUGCAUUUGAAACUGUUGGUCUUGAGUAUCGGAGGGGCAGGCGGAAUUCCUAGUGUAGCGGUGGAAUGCGUAGAUAUUAGGAGGAACACCAGUGGCGAAGGCGGCCUGCUGGACGACAACUGACGGUGAGGCGCGAAAGCGUGGGGAGCAAACAGGAUUAGAUACCCCUGUAGUC